rnacentral:rRNA from 1 species
GAGUUUGAUCCUGGCUCAGAACGAACGCUGGCGGCGUGGAUAAGACAUGCAAGUCGAACGGGAUUAUUUUUGUAGCAAUACAGAAGUAAUUCAGUGGCGAACGGGUGCGUAACACGUGGGCAAUCUGCCGAGAAGUGGGGGAUAGCUCGCCGAAAGGCGAAUUAAUACCGCAUAUGGUGAGGGACGACAUCUUCCUGAAUCCAAAGCCGGGGCAACCUGGCGCUUUUUGAGGAGCCCGCGGCCUAUCAGCUAGUUGGUGAGGUAACGGCCCACCAAGGCUUUGACGGGUAGCUGGUCUGAGAGGACGACCAGUCACACUGGAACUGAGACACGGUCCAGACACCUACGGGUGGCAGCAGUCGAGAAUUUUUCUCAAUGGGGGAAACCCUGAAGGAGCGACGCCGCGUGGAGGAUGAAGGCUUUCGGGUUGUAAACUCCUGUCAUUUGAGAACAAGGUGCGCGUAUUAACUGUGCGCGCAUUGAUAGUAUCAGAAGAGGAAGAGACGGCUAACUCUGUGCCAGCAGCCGCGGUAAUACAGAGGUCUCGAGCGUUGUUCGGAUUCAUUGGGCGUAAAGGGUGCGUAGGUGGCGCCGUAAGUCGGGUGUGAAAUUUCGGAGCUUAACUCCGAAACUGCAUUCGAUACUGCGGUGCUUGAGGACUGGAGAGGAGACUGGAAUUCAUGGUGUAGCAGUGAAAUGCGUAGAGAUCAUGAGGAAGACCAGUGGCGAAGGCGGGUCUCUGGACAGUUCCUGACACUGAGGCACGAAGGCCAGGGGAGCAAACGGGAUUAGAUACCCCGGUAGUCCUGGCAGUAAACGGUGCACGUUUGGUGUGGGAGGAUUCGACCCCUUCUGCGCCGGAGCUAACGCGUUAAAUAUGCCGCCUGGGGAGUACAGUCGCAAGGCUGAAACUCAAAGGAAUUGACGGGGGCCCGCACAAGCGGUGGAGCAUGUGGUUCAAUUCGACGCAACGCGAAAAACCUUACCUAGGCUCGAACGGCUGGUCAACGGAGGUGGAAACAUCUUUACCCCGCAAGGGGGUCCAGUCGAGGUGCUGCAUGGCUGUCGUCAGCUCGUGUCGUGAGAUGUUGGGUUAAGUCCCGCAACGAGCGCAACCCUUGUCCUGUGUUGCCAUCAUUCAGUUGGGAACUCGCAGGAGACCGCCAGGGAUAACCUGGAGGAAGGUGGGGAUGCCGUCAAGUCCUCAUGGCCUUUAUGUCUAGGGCUACACACGUGCUACAAUGGACGGUACAAAGCGCAGCAAACCCGCGAGGGGGAGCCAAUCGCAAAAAACCGUUCUCAGUUCGGAUUGCAGGCUGCAACUCGCCUGCAUGAAGCUGGAAUCGCUAGUAAUGGCAGAUCAGCACGCUGCCGUGAAUACGUUCCCGGGCCUUGCACACAC